GCUCGAAGCUCUCCUAGGACGCGUUUGGUGGCUGUAACGAAGCAGGUCCCAGCAACACCAGGUGGAGAAGCUUCGAAGGAGUCGUCAUCUACUGGUGUUCAGCAGGAAGCUGUCCCUGACAAGCCUUUGCCAAGUGCGGAGGAGUCGGAAGGUUCGUCUUCUACUGGUGAUGAG